rnacentral:lncRNA from 1 species
AGGCUUGAAUCUUUAUCUUCCUCAGAAAACACAAACCCCAAAUCCAUAAACCCUUUCAGCUCCUCAAACUCAAGGUCUGAUAAACUCUUACUACUCUUCUUCUUCUUCUUAUUCAUCUUAUUCUUCCUUUUUGGCUUCGCAGCCGUCUCCAUCUCUUCGUGUUGCUCAUUAUUAACUCUUUCACUUUCAAACUCAGGAACUUCUUUGCCAGAUGCAAUUGUUUGAAGCUUUGGUGUUAGCAGAGAAUGAUCAGAAGAGAAGCUUGUGGUACAACUUUUGCAGCUCGCCAAAGCAUAGUCGCUUAAAGACCGGACAUGGAGAAUUGGUAAGCUUGAAACCUUUGGUUCUUGAACUUCCUGCUGAAUUUCAAGAAUUGGGUUUGUUUUUUGUGGCGAUGCAGUUACCUUCUUGGUGAAAAUCUCGUGCUCAAACCAGUAUGAAUCUAAGAGCUCAAAGAUUUCUUCUGCAGCCAUUUAUUUGUAAAGUGCUGGCUACUGAAAUAUCUAGAAUUUGAUAAGAUACGAUCAAAAUGAAUUUUUUAGACAGCUAUUUGCCCAUAUGGUCAAUUGUUUAUAUAUACACAUACACAGCAGACACAGUAGAUUUUUUUCCAUAAUUACAUUAAUGCCCAUAUUGGGGAGUUGAUGUAACUACACACCACCCUCUAAACCCGUUACUUUUGAUUUGCUUAUGCAUCAUCAUUCUCCUUUCAAAAUAAAUUCACUCAUAUCUCAUAAGAUUUAGCCAAAAAAUAAUAAUAAUAAUAAUAACAACACAUUAAAAGCUUAGAAAGCAUUAGAUAUUGCUUCUUUUUUUUUUUUAAAAAAAAUAAAGUUAAGUUUGCGUUUGAGUGUUUUCAAUUUAAUAUUAAUAACACGUGGUGGCAUCUUGGAUAUUCGAUGCGAAGAAGACCAUGUCAAUGGGCCAUGGCCUAAAAGUUGAAGGGUGAUCAUCAUCUAUUGGCACUUUAAUUAUCUUGUUCACACUGAGUGAUAAAAAUAAAAUAAAACCAUGUGGUUGCGACAAACUAUUGGUUUAUAAUAUUAAUUGGAGCACUUGCUUAACAACCAUCAUAUAAAUAAGUACAAUUAUUGGGCGGCAGAACUUUGUGUUCUUAGACUUUGCGGAUCUUUAUUUUUUACAUGAUUGAUAUGAUUAAGACUUUAGUUAUUGAACCGAAGUAAUCUUUAAUAGGCAAUCCUUAAUGACGGUUGAUGUUUGAUAAUUACUUGUUUUAGUAAAGAUAAAGUUCGAACUUAUCCACUAAAACGGGGUGUUGUGGUCCAGCACAGCUUGUAUUUGAUGAUUUGAUCAAACAUCAAAUGAUGAGCCCAAGUCGUGCACGAAUCAAAUCAUGAUGCGAGCGGCAACACCAAAUACUCGGUGCUUUUAGUUCUUAGUUAUUACCCACCAUUGAUUUUACCUUAUUAACUAUUCUUUAUUUCUUUAAAUUGCAAUAUAUUAACGCCCCAUGCAAAAGCAAAACACGUGAAGCCUCAAGCUUUAGAGAGCAGAGACAUUUAUUAAAUUAUUUAUUCAGGAUAUGAUGGGUCAUGUAAACAGUUUACGGCAUUUAAUUUUAAAACAGCUAAUAAUUAUGCGGCAUUUAUAAUUUUAUAUACUUCUCAUUAUUUUAUCCAAAUUCCAAUAUUUUUGAAAUUGGGCGAGUUUUAGGCUCAGUUAAACAGUAAAUGCCGAGGCUUUCAACAGAAGCAAACCCUCCUGAUAUUGGCCCAUUUUCGGUCUCGCGGUCGCAACAGCAGACAAUUCAUUGAUGCCCUGUUUGGUCGAGACUCAAUGGGCAAAAAAGGACUCGACAUUUAUUUUAUUUCAAGAUAGGGCAUGAAAAGAAACAUUCGUAAGCAACAACCAAUCUACGGAAAGGCAAUUGGCUCACUCUUUAAUGAAUUAAAAGUAUUGCCUUUUGACGCCGAAGUAACAUUAUCAGAAACCUUUAUCAGACAAGAAUAUAAAAACAUUAUCGGAAAUCAUUUUGUAUUCCAAACAGAACCCACAAACCCAUUAGGCAUCAUCAUCAUGCUUGAGCAUUUUUCGGUUUUAUCAAUGGAGAAUUCACCGGAAACUAGGGAAUGUGCUAUCAUUCGGCAAGUGCCCGCUUGAUUAAAAAAAUUUCUAAAUUGUAUCUAUUAUUUAAAUCACUGUCCGAUUACUUAAUUAAAAUGUUUAAUAAGAGUUGAUAAAUUUAAGCACCUAAUCCAGUAAACUUAAUUAAAAUAUUUCAUGAGUUAAAAGUUGUGAUCAUUUACAAUAUAAUUCAUUAUUGAGUUACAGCUAUGAACUAAAUUUCUGACUCGUCCCUGAAUCAGUAGUUGGUGUUGAAGUGAG